rnacentral:lncRNA from 1 species
GCACUUCUUCCUGUCACCAUGUGAAGAAGGACAUGUUUGCUUCCCCUUCCACCAUGAUUGUAAGUUUCCUGAGGACUCCCCAGCCCUGCGGAACUAGGAGACUGGAAUGUGAAUUGAUGGACUGAGUGAGAAAUAUUCACCCACAAUGUGAGCAGACACCAUCCAAUCAACUAAGAGCCCAAAUAGGACCCAAAAAAGCAAAGAAAAGGCACUCUCCUGGAAUGGGGACACUCCUCUUCUCCUGUCCUUGGACAUCAGAACUCUAGGCUCUCUGACAUUUGGACUCCAGGCUUUAUACCAGCAACUCCCUAGUUUCCCACCAAAACCCAGGUUCCUGGCCCUUAGCCUCAGACUAAGAAUUACACCAUCAGCUUCCCAGGGAACUUGGACGGAGAUACGUUACCAGCAUCCCAAGGUCUCCAGCUUCCAGAUGGCCUGUCUUGGGAAUUUUCA